rnacentral:rRNA from 1 species
GACGAACGCUGGCGGCGUGCUUAACACAUGCAAGUCGAACGGAAAGGCCCUGCUUUUGUGGGGUGCUCGAGUGGCGAACGGGUGAGUAACCCGUGAGUAACCUGCCCUUUACGUUGGGAUAACUUCAGACAACUGGUGCUAAUACCUGAUUGGAGCUCCUGCUGCAUGGUGGGGGUUGGAAAGUUUCGGCGGAUGGGGAUGGACGCGCGGCUUAUCAGCUUGUUGGUGGGGUAGUGGCUAAUCAAGGGAUUGGAGGGUAGUCGGCAUGAGAGGGUAGACACGCACAUUGGGACUGAGAUACGGAGCAGACGCCAACGGGAGGCAGCAGUGGGGAAUAUUGCACAGUGGUCGGAAGCGUGAUGCAGAAACGCUGCGAGCGGGAUGAAGGCCAUCGUGGGGGAAAGCGCUUUAGCCUGUGACGAAGCGUGAGUGACGGUAAUGGCUAAAGAAGCACCGGCUAACUACGUG